rnacentral:lncRNA from 1 species
CUCUUUUUGGAGAUGAACGAAACACCUCAGACCUCGCCAAGUCGGACGAAGGAAUACUGUCGAGACAUUCUGCGAUUGCUCGACAGGCCUGCUAUGACGAUUCCAUCAGACUGCCAAGGGUUACAAGGACCGUGCCCCAACUUCGGCGUCCAACGAAAACGCUCAGCACCGCUGGCACCCUCAAAGGGUUCACCUGGAAGUGCAGAAAGAAGGGCGGAAAAGAACUGACAAAAAAAAAGUAUUGCGCGCCCGAAGCAAGCGACUUUUCCAGUCGGCCUGCACAACGAUGCAGUGGCGAAACUUGCGCGGGCGAUCUGCCGCCGGAAGGCUAAAAGAACGGGGAAACGGACGGAGCAUUCCCUGGUCAUAACCCCGAUCUUUCGCGAACGCUCCCACGAGAGCGGGAAACCCCCACGAAAAAAGUGUUUGAAACAGAAUUUCUUGGCGCGUCGGUAUGUUCUUGGAAACUCGAAAGUCUCUACGCCAAAAACAAGCGAGGAUCGACAGCCACAAAAGGCGGGCGAAUCGAACGGAUGAGAGGUACACAGUUCAGCCCGUCGCGAGGACAGCUGAAACCGCGCACGCGGAAGGCCG